rnacentral:rRNA from 1 species
AGGAAUUGGCGGGGGAGCACCGCAACGGGAGGAGCGUGCGGUUUAAUUGGAUUCAACACCGGAAAACUCACCAAGGGCGACUGUUACAUGAAAGCCAGGCUAAUGACCUUGCUUGAUUUUCAGAGAGGUGGUGCAUGGCCGUCGUCAGUUCGUACCGUAAGGCGUUCUCUUAAGUGAGAUAACGAACGAGACCCUCACCGAUAAUUGCCAGUCCGAUCCCCGGAUCGGGCGCACAUUAUAGGGACCGCUGGCGCUAAGUCAGAGGAAGGAGAGGUCAACGGUAGGUCAGUAUGCCCCGAAUCUCUUGGGCUACACGCGCGCUACAAAGGGCGGGACAAUGGGUUCCGACGCCGAGAGGCGGAGGCAAUCCCGAAACCCGUCCGUAGUUCGGAUUGAGGGUUGUAACUCACCCUCAUGAAGCUGGAUUCCGUAGUAAUCGCGAAUCAACAACUCGCGGUGAAUAUGCCCCUGCUCCUUGCACACACCGC